rnacentral:rRNA from 2 species
CAGUAGUCAUAUGCUUGUCUCAAAGAUUAAGCCAUGCAUGUCUAAGCACAAACUUUUACACAGUGAAGCUGCGAAUGGCUCAUUAGGUCACCCAUGAUUUCUUAGAUCGUACAAUCCUACUUGGAUAACUGUGGUAAUUCUAGAGCUAAUACAUGCAAUUAAGCUCCGACCCCUCGUGGGGAAGAGCGCGUUUAUUAGAUCAAAACCAAUCGGGUCUUCGGGCCCGCACGUUUGGUGACUCUGGAUAACUUCGAGCUGAUCGCAUGGCCUCGCGCCGGCGACGUAUCUUUCAAGUGUGUGCCCUAUCAACUUUCGAUGGUACGUGAUAUGCCUACCAUGGUUGUAACGGGUAACGGGGAAUCAGGGUUCGAUUCCG